rnacentral:rRNA from 1 species
GACGAACGCUGGCGGCGUGCCUAAUACAUGCAAGUAGAACGCACAGUUUAUACCGUAGCUUGCUACACCAUAGACUGUGAGUUGCGAACGGGUGAGUAACGCGUAGGUAACCUGCCUGGUAGCGGGGGAUAACUAUUGGAAACGAUAGCUAAUACCGCAUCAUAUUAAUUAUUGCAUGAUAAUUGAUUGAAAGCUGCAACUGCAUCACUACCAGAUGGACCUGCGUUGUAUUAGCUAGUAGGUGAGGUAACGGCUCACCUAGGCGACGAUACAUAGCCGACCUGAGAGGGUGAUCGGCCACACUGGGACUGAGACACGGCCCAGACUCCUACGGGAGGCAGCAGUAGGGAAUCUUCGGCAAUGGACGAAAGUCUGACCGAGCAACGCCGCGGGAGUGAAGAAGGUUUUCGGAUCGUAAAGCUCUGUUGUAAGAGAAGAACGGGUGUGAGAGUGGAAAGUUCACACUGUGACGGUAGCUUACCAGAAAGGGACGGCUAACUACGUG